GAUGAACGCUGGCGGCGUGCCUAAUACAUGCAAGUCGAGCGAACAGACGAGGAGCUUGCUCCUCUGACGUUAGCGGCGGACGGGUGAGUAACACGUGGAUAACCUACCUAUAAGACUGGGAUAACUUCGGGAAACCGGAGCUAAUACCGGAUAAUAUAUUGAACCGCAUGGUUCAAUAGUGAAAGACGGUUUUGCUGUCACUUAUAGAUGGAUCCGCGCCGCAUUAGCUAGUUGGUAAGGUAACGGCUUACCAAGGCAACGAGGCGUAGCCGACGUGAGAGGGUGAUCGGCCACACUGGAACGGAGGCACGGUCCAGACUCCUACGGGAGGCAGCAGUAGGGAAUCUUCCGCAAUGGGCGAAAGCCUGACGGAGCAACGCCGCGUGAGUGAUGAAGGUCUUCGGAUCGUAAAACUCUGUUAUUAGGGAAGAACAAAUGUGUAAGUAACUAUGCACGUCUUGACGGUACCUAAUCAGAAAGCCACGGCUAACUACGUG
rnacentral:rRNA from 1 species